UUGUGUCUUCAAUGUACAAUUGUGUCUUGCUUCAUAUUUGAGAUUUUACUUCACAUCUUUGCUCACAAAAUGUCUCUCCUUUCUCAGGCAUUCAUUCUAGAUUUCAAUGUGUGAUUCUAGUAUUGUUCUUGAGUGAGUUCAGUCUCCUCGCCUUUUGUAAGUGUAACUCUGUAAGACACUUUGUUUCUCAUCACGUGACUUCUUUAAUUUGUAUGUCUCUUUAUUAGGUAGUUUUUUUUUUUUGUUUUUGCUUCUAGAAACUACAUGUUGACAAUUCAUUUAGGUAGCUUUCAGCUGUUAUAAGUGUUGUAAAGUUAAAUGUUGUAGCAAUUUCAUAAAAGAGCUAGAUCAGAUUUCUGAUAAUAUAUAAACGCCAACAAAAAAAAAUUAGGUGGCCAGAGUUAUAAGUUGAUGGCAUCCAAAAAGGAAGGUCUUCUUAGCUCGACAGCUAGGAAACAAAGAUGAAUUAAAAAGGCGUCGUCGAGCUGACAGUACAAUUACGUCAUCUUUUGAAGGAACUGGCCUCUUUCCAGUGGCAAUCCUAAUACUGAAAAGUGAGACAGGAAUUUUAUGUGUUCUACAUCGUCAUCACUAACUAUUUCCCUCAUCUUUGCAUUUCUUGAUCGGUUGCUGAAGCACCUAUCCAUCUUGUUCGUCCUCAUAUCUCUCUCUAUAAAUGUCUUUGUAAUAUUUUCCUUUGUCGUGGAUCAAUUGACUUAUUUUCAGCUGUGUGAGAUUGA